rnacentral:rRNA from 1 species
UACGGGGGGAGCAAGCGUUGUUCGGAUUUACUGGGCGUAAAGGGCGUGCAGGCGGUCAGGUAAGUGGGAUGUGAAAUGCCCCGGCUCACCCGGGGACCGGCAUCUCAUACUGCUUGGCUUGAGUACGGGAGAGGAUGUGGGAAUUCCUGGUGUAGCGGUGAAAUGCGUAGAUAUCAGGAGGAACACCGGUGGCGAAGGCGCACAUCUGGCCCGAUACUGACGCUGAGGCGCGAAAGCUAGGGGAGCAAACGGG